rnacentral:rRNA from 1 species
CUGGAGGUAUCAGAAGUGCGAAUGCUGACAUAAGUAACGAUAAAGCGGGUGAAAAGCCCGCUCGCCGGAAGACCAAGGGUUCCUGUCCAACGUUAAUCGGGGCAGGGUGAGUCGACCCCUAAGGCGAGGCCGAAAGGCGUAGUCGAUGGGAAACGGGUUAAUAUUCCCGUACUUGGUGUUACUGCGAAGGGGGGACGGAGAAGGCUAUGUUGGCCGGGCGACGGUUGUCCCGGUUUAAGCGUGUAGGUGUGUGUUCCAGGUAAAUCCGGUUCACUUUAACACUGAGGCGUGACGACGAGGCACUACGGUGCUGAAGCAACAAAUGCCCUGCUUCCAGGAAAAGCCUCUAAGCAUCAGGUAACAUCAAAUCGUACCCCAAACCGACACAGGUGGUCAGGUAGAGAAUACCAAGGCGCUUGAGAGAACUCGGGUGAAGGAACUAGGCAAAAUGGUGCCGUAACUUCGGGAGAAGGCACGCUGACACGUAGGUGAAGUGAUUUACUCACGGAGCUGAAGUCAGUCGAAGAUACCAGCUGGCUGCAACUGUUUAUUAAAAACACAGCACUGUGCAAACACGAAAGUGGACGUAUACGGUGUGACGCCUGCCCGGUGCCGGAAGGUUAAUUGAUGGGGUCAGCGCAAGCGAAGCUCCUGAUCGAAGCCCCGGUAAACGGCGGCCGUAACUAUAACGGUCCUAAGGUAGCGAAAUUCCUUGUCGGGUAAGUUCCGACCUGCACGAAUGGCGUAAUGAUGGCCAGGCUGUCUCCACCCGAGACUCAGUGAAAUUGAACUCGCUGUGAAGAUGCAGUGUACCCGCGGCAAGACGGAAAGACCCCGUGAACCUUUACUAUAGCUUGACACUGAACAUUGAGCCUUGAUGUGUAGGAUAGGUGGGAGGCUUUGAAGUGUGGACGCCAGUCUGCAUGGAGCCGACCUUGAAAUACCACCCUUUAAUGUUUGAUGUUCUAACGUGGACCCGUAAUCCGGGUUGCGGACAGUGUCUGGUGGGUAGUUUGACUGGGGCGGUCUCCUCCUAAAGAGUAACGGAGGAGCACGAAGGUUGGCUAAUCCUGGUCGGACAUCAGGAGGUUAGUGCAAUGGCAUAAGCCAGCUUGACUGCGAGCGUGACGGCGCGAGCAGGUGCGAAAGCAGGUCAUAGUGAUCCGGUGGUUCUGAAUGGAAGGGCCAUCGCUCAACGGAUAAAAGGUACUCCGGGGAUAACAGGCUGAUACCGCCCAAGAGUUCAUAUCGACGGCGGUGUUUGGCACCUCGAUGUCGGCUCAUCACAUCCUGGGGCUGAAGUAGGUCCCAAGGGUAUGGCUGUUCGCCAUUUAAAGUGGUACGCGAGCUGGGUUUAGAACGUCGUGAGACAGUUCGGUCCCUAUCUGCCGUGGGCGCUGGAGAACUGAGGGGGGCUGCUCCUAGUACGAGAGGACCGGAGUGGACGCAUCACUGGUGUUCGGGUUGUCAUGCCAAUGGCACUGCCCGGUAGCUAAAUGCGGAAGAGAUAAGUGCUGAAAGCAUCUAAGCACGAAACUUGCCCCGAGAUGAGUUCUCCCUGAGACUUAGAGUCUCCUGAAGGAACGUUGAAGACGACGACGUUGAUAGGCCGGGUGUGUAAGCGCAGCGAUGCGUUGAGCUAACCGGUACUAAUGAACCGUGAGGCUUAACCUUACAACGCCGAAG